rnacentral:rRNA from 1 species
GACGUAGGGCGCGAGCGUUGUCCGGAUUUAUUGGGCGUAAAGAGCUCGUAGGCGGCUCAUUGCGUCAACCGUGAAAACCAGCAGCUCAACUGUUGGCUUGCGGUUGAUACGGGUGGGCUGGAGUUCGGUAGGGGAGACUGGAAUUCCUGGUGUAGCGGGUGAAAUGCGCAGAGAUCGGGAGGAACACCCGUAGCGAAGGCGGCACUCUGGGCCGGUACUGACGCUGAGGAGCGAAAGCGUGGGGGAGCAAACAGG